AUGACUUGUUGGAAAGGAUUCCCCAGGAGAAAGUGAAGAGCAGUGAUCUGGUCUAUGUAAGCCUCAGGCACAACGCGUAAUGCCUGAUUGUUCGGUGCAUCUUUGGGAACACAAAGGAUGUGUGACUUUGGAGACAGAUCCAAACAAAAUGCCUGCCAAGGAGAACAGAUAGCACAGAAGGUUUUGGCCCAUGACUGCUAUUUGCUAGGCGUUGAGUAAGGCAAAUAAUUCAGUCAGCAUGCCAGUGGAUCAUUUCCUCUACAAGGAGCCAACUGAGGAUGCUUGUGGUCAUCAGAUCUAUUGAAUCCAUAGCUAACAAUCAUUCUCAUCUCCUGAUUCUCUGUUAAUGUGCAAAGCGUGAUUGUGAGAACCAGUCUUCACAGCACGGAAGUCAGUGCCUUCAGAUACACAGGCAAAAGACCAAAGUGAAGUAGUCUGGGCAUGUGAAGGCAGGACUGUGAGUUUUAACAGCACAGAAAUAUCCUUCCUAGUCCUCUGAAAUUCUUACAGAACAGCAUUACAACCUUUUCUUAAUAAAAAUCUACCAUAGAUGCUUAACCUUUAACUCAUCUCACAAAUUUAAAAAAAAAAAAAAAACAACUGAAGUGCUUAUAACUGCAAACACAGCUAUUCUACUCAUACAGUGUAAAGAUCCCAAGAAAUGCCAAGAUUCUGCUCUGAUGUACCAGGAGUUCCUAAUGCCUCUGAAAGAGGUCAGGAGUUUACUUAGCCUCUUUGAGAAAGUGUUGGUUCCCUGCAGGACAAGGACUGCAUCCUCUUCUAUUAAGCCUGGAGUAGGAAAAAAUCCUAAACAAAACACCAGAUGUGAUUCUGGCAACUUGGUUUUACCCUCAGAUAACUUUGGACACUUCAGAUACUAUAUUUUUAUUUCAUUGCUCAUAUAAAAUCUGUCUAGAAAUGACAAAUAGUAACAUCCUACCUUUCUAAUGAAGUGUUUAUCUAUGUCCUUUCAAAUACUAUUUAUUUUUUGACUGCUUAUAGGCUUGUAUGAAAAGUUAAAGAAGAUCCAAGAUGAAUGUAUUUUAUGUCAAUACAGGAAAUUCAGCUGAAUGGUGUUUACGAGCGAUUUAUUAUAUAUCUUACAUAUUGAUCAUCACUGAUAAUUUAAAUGCAGUCUGUCUGGUGGCUUAGUAUGUUAAAAGACAGAUCAAAAGCUACCAUUUAAAGUAGCAGUUACUGGAAGACUUGGAGACAGUCCUCAGCCUGUGUAAAUCAUCACUGUUCUGCCAAUUUGAACGCAUCUACACCGAUUUACACAGCAGAGAAUCUAGUGUUCCACUUUUACAGAAACUUUUAAAAUGCAUGCAGUAGAUUGACUAUGGUUUAAUACUGCUAAUCCAGCUACCCUUGGUCUCUGUUUUCUCUUCUUAGACUUUGGAGAUACUGCGUGGGUAAGCAGCACUAAAGAGUUUUUCAAAGAAAUGGGCGGUAUUGAUUGGUAGAUGUUUUAAUGGCAUUCUGCAAAUACUGUACUCUGUUAACAGUCAUUUCAGCUAAUGUGUAAUAGCCCAAGCUCAGCACAGCAAUCCUGACACCAAUGAAAUUGUGAUGCUAUGGAACACAAGAAGGUGUAUGAGCACUGGUGCUACCUUUGAGGAAUUGAGGCCCGCUUUUUUUCGGUCUGUUUCUCAUGGGGUAGUUUACAAGAAGCAGUGUAGCAAAUAAGAAUUUCCAGAACUGUUUUGUUUUGUGGGAUUCAUUGUGGAAGAUGUUGGAUCUCAUUCAUAAUUUACUACCAAAACUCAUCUCCGUACAACGAAGAACUGUUUGUUCCAUGCUAUAUUAAAAGCAGAAGCCAAUGU
ensembl:lncRNA